ACGGGAGUCCCGGGGAGCGGGGCUGAGAGUGGGCACAGCGGGCUCGACCGCACCUGCCCUUACCGUCACACCUGAUCCGGGUCAUGCCGGCGAAGGGAGGACCAGAUGCCGACGG
rnacentral:ncRNA from 1 species